GUGUCAGCAGCCGCGGUAAGACGUAGGGGGCGAGCGUUGUCCGGAGUUACUGGGCGUAAAGGGCCCGCAGGCGGGAGGGUGCGUUUGGUGUGACAGCUCGUGGCUUCACUACGAGAGGAUACCAAAGACGGCCGUUCUUGAGGGCCAGAGAGGGACCUGGAAGUCCGGGUGGAGCGGUGAAAUGCGUAGAGAUCCGGAGGAACACCGAAAGCGAAGGCAGGGUCCUGGCUGGUACCUGACGCUCGUGGGCGAAAGCUAGGGGAGCGAACGGGAUUAGAUACCCCUGUAGUCC
rnacentral:rRNA from 1 species